rnacentral:rRNA from 1 species
GACGAACGCUGGCGGCGUGCCUAACACAUGCAAGUCGAACGAAGAAUGUUUUCGGAAUAUUCUUAGUGGCGGACGGGUGAGUAACGCGUGAACAAUCUGCCCCGUACAAAGGGAUAGCCUCGGGAAACCGGGAUUAAAACCAUAUAACGCUUUAGUACCGCAUGGUAAUAAAGUCAAAUCGAUUAAGAGGUAUGGGAUGAGUUCGCGUCUGAUUAGCUAGUUGGUGAGGUAAGGGCUCACCAAGGCGACGAUCAGUAGCCGGCCUGAGAGGGUGAACGGCCACACUGGAACUGAGACACGGUCCAGACUCCUACGGGAGGCAGCAGUGGGGAAUAUUGCACAAUGGAGGGAACUCUGAUGCAGCGACGCCGCGUGAGUGAAGAAGGUCUUCGGAUCGUAAAACUCUGUCCUUGGUGAAGAAAAGGACGGUAGCCAAGGAGGAAGCCCCGGCUAACUACGUG